AGCGUACACGGUGGAUGCCCUGGCAGUCAGAGGCGAUGAAGGACGUGCUAAUCUGCGAUAAGCGUCGGUAAGGUGAUAUGAACCGUUAUAACCGGCGAUUUCCGAAUGGGGAAACCCAGUGUGAUUCGUCACACUAUCAUUAACUGAAUCCAUAGGUUAAUGAGGCGAACCGGGGGAACUGAAACAUCUAAGUACCCCGAGGAAAAGAAAUCAACCGAGAUUCCCCCAGUAGCGGCGAGCGAACGGGGAGCAGCCCAGAGCCUGAAUCAGUGUGUGUGUUAGUGGAAGCGUCUGGAAAGGCGCGCGAUACAGGGUGACAGCCCCGUACACAAAAAUGCACAUGCUGUGAGCUCGAUGAGUAGGGCGGGACACGUGGUAUCCUGUCUGAAUAUGGGGGGACCAUCCUCCAAGGCUAAAUACUCCUGACUGACCGAUAGUGAACCAGUACCGUGAGGGAAAGGCGAAAAGAACCCCGGCGAGGGGAGUGAAAAAGAACCUGAAACCGUGUACGUACAAGCAGUGGGAGCACGCUUAGGCGUGUGACUGCGUACCUUUUGUAUAAUGGGUCAGCGACUUAUAUUCUGUAGCAAGGUUAACCGAAUAGGGGAGCCGAAGGGAAACCGAGUCUUAACUGGGCGUUAAGUUGCAGGGUAUAGACCCGAAACCCGGUGAUCUAGCCAUGGGCAGGUUGAAGGUUGGGUAACACUAACUGGAGGACCGAACCGACUAAUGUUGAAAAAUUAGCGGAUGACUUGUGGCUGGGGGUGAAAGGCCAAUCAAACCGGGAGAUAGCUGGUUCUCCCCGAAAGCUAUUUAGGUAGCGCCUCGUGAAUUCAUCUCCGGGGGUAGAGCACUGUUUCGGCAAGGGGGUCAUCCCGACUUACCAACCCGAUGCAAACUGCGAAUACCGGAGAAUGUUAUCACGGGAGACACACGGCGGGUGCUAACGUCCGUCGUGAAGAGGGAAACAACCCAGACCGCCAGCUAAGGUCCCAAAGUCAUGGUUAAGUGGGAAACGAUGUGGGAAGGCCCAGACAGCCAGGAUGUUGGCUUAGAAGCAGCCAUCAUUUAAAGAAAGCGUAAUAGCUCACUGGUCGAGUCGGCCUGCGCGGAAGAUGUAACGGGGCUAAACCAUGCACCGAAGCUGCGGCAGCGACGCUGAUGCGUUGUUGGGUAGGGGAGCGUUCUGUAAGCCUGCGAAGGUGUGCUGUGAGGCAUGCUGGAGGUAUCAGAAGUGCGAAUGCUGACAUAAGUAACGAUAAAGCGGGUGAAAAGCCCGCUCGCCGGAAGACCAAGGGUUCCUGUCCAACGUUAAUCGGGGCAGGGUGAGUCGACCCCUAAGGCGAGGCCGAAAGGCGUAGUCGAUGGGAAACAGGUUAAUAUUCCUGUACUUGGUGUUACUGCGAAGGGGGGACGGAGAAGGCUAUGUUGGCCGGGCGACGGUUGUCCCGGUUUAAGCGUGUAGGCUGGUUUUCCAGGCAAAUCCGGAAAAUCAAGGCUGAGGCGUGAUGACGAGGCACUACGGUGCUGAAGCAACAAAUGCCCUGCUUCCAGGAAAAGCCUCUAAGCAUCAGGUAACAUCAAAUCGUACCCCAAACCGACACAGGUGGUCAGGUAGAGAAUACCAAGGCGCUUGAGAGAACUCGGGUGAAGGAACUAGGCAAAAUGGUGCCGUAACUUCGGGAGAAGGCACGCUGAUAUGUAGGUGAAGUCCCUCGCGGAUGGAGCUGAAAUCAGUCGAAGAUACCAGCUGGCUGCAACUGUUUAUUAAAAACACAGCACUGUGCAAACACGAAAGUGGACGUAUACGGUGUGACGCCUGCCCGGUGCCGGAAGGUUAAUUGAUGGGGUUAGCGCAAGCGAAGCUCUUGAUCGAAGCCCCGGUAAACGGCGGCCGUAACUAUAACGGUCCUAAGGUAGCGAAAUUCCUUGUCGGGUAAGUUCCGACCUGCACGAAUGGCGUAAUGAUGGCCAGGCUGUCUCCACCCGAGACUCAGUGAAAUUGAACUCGCUGUGAAGAUGCAGUGUACCCGCGGCAAGACGGAAAGACCCCGUGAACCUUUACUAUAGCUUGACACUGAACAUUGAGCCUUGAUGUGUAGGAUAGGUGGGAGGCUUUGAAGUGUGGACGCCAGUCUGCAUGGAGCCGACCUUGAAAUACCACCCUUUAAUGUUUGAUGUUCUAACGUUGACCCGUAAUCCGGGUUGCGGACAGUGUCUGGUGGGUAGUUUGACUGGGGCGGUCUCCUCCUAAAGAGUAACGGAGGAGCACGAAGGUUGGCUAAUCCUGGUCGGACAUCAGGAGGUUAGUGCAAUGGCAUAAGCCAGCUUGACUGCGAGCGUGACGGCGCGAGCAGGUGCGAAAGCAGGUCAUAGUGAUCCGGUGGUUCUGAAUGGAAGGGCCAUCGCUCAACGGAUAAAAGGUACUCCGGGGAUAACAGGCUGAUACCGCCCAAGAGUUCAUAUCGACGGCGGUGUUUGGCACCUCGAUGUCGGCUCAUCACAUCCUGGGGCUGAAGUAGGUCCCAAGGGUAUGGCUGUUCGCCAUUUAAAGUGGUACGCGAGCUGGGUUUAGAACGUCGUGAGACAGUUCGGUCCCUAUCUGCCGUGGGCGCUGGAGAACUGAGGGGGGCUGCUCCUAGUACGAGAGGACCGGAGUGGACGCAUCACUGGUGUUCGGGUUGUCAUGCCAAUGGCACUGCCCGGUAGCUAAAUGCGGAAGAGAUAAGUGCUGAAAGCAUCUAAGCACGAAACUUGCCCCGAGAUGAGUUCUCCCUGACUCCUUGA
rnacentral:rRNA from 1 species